UAAAAAGCUCGUAGACCGACUCUCGGGGCUGUUGGAACGGUCCGCAGAAAUGUGAGCACUGUUUCAGCCGCCUCUUCCUUCUGGAUUUCAUGUCUUCUCUUCACUGAGCGGAUGUGAGGGCCAGAUCGUUCACUUUGAACAAAUUAGAGUGUUCAAAGCAGGCCUCCGCCUGAAUACUUGAGCAUGGAAUGAUAUCAAUAGGUUCUUCCUUCUCGUUUAUUGGUGAUGAGAAGGAAGAAAAUGAGAAAGGGGAAUGGUUGGGGCCAUUCGUACUGCAGCGUUAGAGGUGAAAUUCUUGGAUCGCUGCAAGACGAACAACAGCGAAAGCAUUUGGCAAGAACGUUUCCACCGGUCAAGAACGAAAGUUAAGGGAUCGAGGACGAUCAGAUACCGUCGUAGUCUUAACCAUAAACUAUGCCGACUAGAGAUCGGUGGAUGUUAUUUUAUGACUCCAUCAGCAUCUUAUGAGAAAUCAAAGUCUA
rnacentral:rRNA from 1 species